ensembl:lncRNA
GUUUUGGAAUUGGAAGUGUGAGGUGGUUGGGCCCUGAGGUGAGUGGUAGGGGGAAAUGUUGCUCUUGGAUCUCUUGGUGAGGAAUAAAUGUCACCUGUUUCCUAAGAGUCCUUCUCUCCCUCAGGAAGUCUGGGGUGUGGGCCAUAUCUCUACUCCUCACCUGACCCUAAUGAAAAUGGGGAGCAGUUCCCCUUUCCCCUUCCUCUACCAUUCCCAGAACAGUAGGGAGAAUAGAACUUGUAGCUCUGAAAAUGAUAAGAGAUAGGAAUAUUUUACUGAAAACAGCUGCUUAUUUUCAUUUAGAAAAAGUUGCUGACUCCAGAGACUCUCACAGGUGGGCAGUCAAUGGGGGGCUGUGUAUGGAUGGGUUUUGCGAUUGUGGACACUGGAGUAGCCAGGGCAGAGUCUAGGAACUGGGUGGGUCCUGCUGAAGAGUCUGUUAUACGUAGGGUUUUAAUCUGUCUAGAAGGUAUAUUUUGAAAUCUACAAUGAGGUCUCCUAGCUUGUGAGGGACGCUGAAGAUCAGGAAGAGCCGCACCUCAGGUAAACCUCUUCAGGAGGCCUAGCUUGAUAGCAGUAUUGCAAGACCAAGAGGUCACCUGGCCAUCUCUGAAGGAAUGGUCAUCGGGCAGCCACUCAGGAUCUGGGUUCCCUGCUCCAGGGUCUCUCACAAGGCUGCAAUUAAGGUAUCAGCUGGGGCUGGGGUCUCAUCUGAAGGCUCAACUGGAGAAGGACAUAGUUCUGAGCUUGCUUAUAUAGCUGUUGGCAGGAUGCAGCUCCUCAAGGCCUGUUGGACUGAGAUCCUCAAUUCCUGGUGGCUGUGGGCUGGAGUUGGCUGGAGGCAAUCCUCAGUUCCUUCUCCUGUGGGCCUCUCCAACAUGGAAGCUUGCUUCAUUAAAGCCAGGAGAGAGUCUGACAGCAAGACAGAAGUCACAAUCUUUUGUAAACUAAUAAUGGAAAUGACAUCCCAUCACCUUUCCCUUAUUCUAUUAGUCAGAAGCAAAUCACUAAGUCCAGCCUACUCUCAAGGGGAGGGGUAAUUACCCAAAGGUGUGAAUAUCAGGAGGCGGGGAUCAUUGGAACAUUCUUAGACGUCUUCCUAACACCAGGGUUUCUUCUUGGACACCCCACUCAGUUCACUGAAGCAAAAGUGGCCAAAGGUGCCAAGUGGAUCCUUGUUCUCAUCCAUAUCCAUGUCUUCAAGGUCAAAGCUGCUUAAGAGCUGAGUGGAGUGGUGGCUGAAAAACGUCAAAGAGGUUGGAGCAUCCAAAGAAGGAGAAAAAGGUGGCGUGGAGGGAGAGGUGGUGUGGGGUCAUCAUGAAUGGUAAAGUGAAAGGAGCCCUUAGAACCACCUGAUUCACCACUGCCAGUAUUCAGACUUAGAGGGGAGGAAAAGCUAGGUGCAGUAUGGCUCACCCUGGCUCCACCUCAGUCUCUCCACUCUGCUCUAGCUCCCAGACAACAAGCCUAAAGAAGCAACCUUCAGCUCCUGCAGAGACAGCCAGGCUUAUAGAGGAAGCAAACCCUACAGGUUGCAUUUAAACCCAACAGGUUUAAUUUCUGCUCUUAUUAAUAUAUUUAAUAUAACAUAUCCAUCAUUUCAAAUUUGAUCCUCACAGUUUGAACAUCAGAAUGAGUCACACAAUCGAUGGCAAAGCCCGUACUAGGGGACUCAGAGCAUGUCACUCCCAUUCUGGGAUGUUUUCCAUCUACCCACGGCCGGAGGACUUCUAACCAAGGGGAGGUGGUGGCCCAAAGGGGCUGAUGUAUUGGCUAGGGUCACAUAACAAGUCACACCUGGUGCCCAGAUACUUGCUUCCAUUCAGAGAAACACUGGAUGAGACAAGGAGACAGAAUUUGCACACUCAGCA